CUUUCCAUGCUCGUCUUGAAUUAACUCUUUGGUCACCCACAGCAACCCUGGGGGGGUGUUAUCACCACGCACACCUUACAGGAGAGGAGGCCAGGGCAGGGAGGGGCUAAGCAACUCGCCCCAAGUGUGCAGUAAGCCCCUCCCAUCCCCCAGCAGGCUGGCCCCCGCCUUGGCCCUCCGGCCUGCUCAGCUGCCCGUAGCACAGAGCGCAGUGACCCCCCACCCACCUCGGAGGACCCCAGGGCGGGGCCCAUGAAGACUUCGUUCUUGAACCCCGGGGCGCUACCACAAAGGGAGAGCGUGAUGCCGGAGGAACCAUGCAUUCACGCUGGAGGAGGCUGGGACCCAGACCCGGCGAGACACGCUGCCCCUCAAGAGAAAGGUGGGGGCGGCACUCGCCGCCGGCUGCCCCCCUCCCACGCAGCACAUGGGGGCAGCGGACGGCGGACCAAGCAACGUCCAUCUCUGUCCUCCUGGACCUCACUUCCCCUCCAGAGCCCAGCCGCCUGGCAGCCUGCACACGGCGGUGAAUUUCCCACGUGCCCAUCUGCCCCACCCGUGCCCUGCCCAGGACACAGGACUCCCAACCCCAGCACCACCAUGCUCCUCACCCAGCAGCCUGCAGCAGGAGCCCCGCCCACUGUCCCCACCUCACCUCUGACCUACCACCAAGGCCAUGGUCACGCCUCCAGGGUGACGGAC
rnacentral:lncRNA from 1 species